rnacentral:tRNA from 1 species
GAUCUUCUGGCUGACCGGCAGUGGCUCGCCGUUCCAGUCGGCGAGGCGCAAGGCGUAGCCGUCCAUGGCGCUGUUCGGCCACGGCGGCAAGUCC